rnacentral:rRNA from 1 species
UACGUAGGGGGCAAGCGUUGUCCGGAUUUAUUGGGCGUAAAGAGCGUGUAGGCGGCCAGGCAGGUCCGCUGUGAAAACUCGAGGCUCAACCUCGAGAGGUCGGUGGAAACCGUCUGGCUAGAGUCCGGAAGAGGAGAGUGGAAUUCCCGGUGUAGCGGUGAAAUGCGCAGAUAUCGGGAGGAACACCUGUGGCGAAAGCGGCGCACUGGACCACAACUGACGCUGAGGCGCGAAAGCUAGGGGAGCAAACAGG